CUUUCUCCAUCUCAAGCUGAAAUGGCAACUCUUACAAGAAAAAACUUGGCAAUCAUUGUUUUAGCAGGAAUUUUCGCUGGUGUCUUACCAGCUUACGUAGCGGCUCAAAACUGUGGCUGUGCAGCAAAUGAGUGCUGUAGCAGAUGGGGUUUCUGUGGCACCACCGAAGAAUAUUGUGGCACUGGGUGCCAAGAAGGUCCUUGUAUUGCUCCUCCUCCUACAAAUGAUGUCUCAGUGCCUGAUAUCGUGACAACAGAAUUUUUCAAUGGAAUAAUUGAUCAGGCUGAGGAUAGUUGUGUGGGAAAGAGCUUCUACUCUCGAGAGGUGUUUCUUGAUGCUCUGAGCUCGUAUCCUCGGUUCGGCAGGGUUGGGUCGGUUGAUGAUUCCAAGCGUGAGAUCGCAGCUUUCUUUGCACAUGUCACCCAUGAGACUGGACACUUUUGCUACAUAGAAGAGAUAAAUGGUGCUUCCAGGGACUACUGUGACGAGGACAACACACAAUAUCCAUGUAAUCCUGACAAAGGAUACUAUGGCCGCGGACCAAUUCAACUAUCAUGGAACUUCAACUAUGGACCAGCGGGAGAAAGCAUUGGGUUCGACGGAUUGAACUCUCCCGAAACUGUAGCCAAUGAUCCAUUGAUUUCAUUUAAGACUGCUCUCUGGUAUUGGAUGAACAAUGUCCAACCCGUCAUAAGCCAAGGGUUUGGGGCGACGAUUCGAGCCAUUAAUGGUGCUCUUGAAUGCGAUGGUGGAAACCCUGCUACCGUUCAAGCCCGCGUAGGGUAUUAUACUGAUUAUUGCAGCCAACUUGGCGUUGCCCCAGGGGAUAAUCUCACUUGUUAGGACGACUACGUCAGAAAUACAUUCAUAUUUUG
rnacentral:misc_RNA from 1 species